rnacentral:rRNA from 1 species
UACGUAGGGGGCGAGCGUUGUCCGGAAUUAUUGGGCGUAAAGCGCGCGCAGGCGGUUCUUUAAGUCUGGUGUUUAAGAGCGGGGCUCAACCCUGCUACGCACUGGAAACUGGAGGACUUGAGUGCAGCAGAGGGAAGCGGUAUUCCACGUGUAGCGGUGAAAUGCGUAGAGAUGUGGAGGAACACCAGUGGCGAAGGCGGCUUUCUGGGCUGUAACUGACGCUGAGGCGCGAAAGCGUGGGGAGCAAACAGG